rnacentral:rRNA from 1 species
CACGUAGGGGGCGAGCGUUGUCCGGAUUUAUUGGGCGUAAAGAGCUCGUAGGCGGCUAAGUAAGUCGGGUGUGAAAACUCCAGGCUCAACCUGGAGACGCCACCUGAUACUGCUUUGGCUAGAGUCCGGUAGGGGAGCAUGGAAUUCCUGGUGUAGCGGUGAAAUGCGCAGAUAUCAGGAGGAACACCAGUGGCGAAGGCGGUGCUCUGGGCCGGAACUGACGCUGGGAGCGAAAGCGUGGGAGCAACAGGG